rnacentral:tRNA from 1 species
GGAGAGGUGGCAGAGUGGUUGAAUGCGGCGGUCUCGAAAACCGUUAGUCCGGGUUUCCGGGCUCGGGGGUUCGAAUCCCCCCCUCUCCGCCA